AAUGCCGGUAGAACGGCGUUCUUCCGUUACUAAGGCAAAACCGUUAUUGAUCGCUUCAAGUGCGGUGCGAUUUCGCAUUGUUUUUCC
rnacentral:tRNA from 1 species